rnacentral:rRNA from 1 species
UACGUAGGGGGCGAGCGUUGUCCGAAGUUACUGGGCGUAAAGAGCGCGUAGGCUGGUCUUUAAGUGAGUGGUGAAAGGUUCGGGCUCAACCCGGACACUGCCUUUCAUACUGGGGACCUUGAGUGUGGGAGAGGCGAGUGGAAUGGUCGGUGUAGCGGUGAAAUGCGUAGAUAUCGGGAGGAACACCUGUGGCGAAAGCGGCGCACUGGACCACUACUGACGCUGAGGCGCGAAAGCUAGGGGAGCAAACAG